GACGAACGCUGGCGGCGUGCCUAAUACAUGCAAGUAGAACGCACAGUUUAUACCGUAGCUUGCUACACCAUAGACUGUGAGUUGCGAACGGGUGAGUAACGCGUAGGUAACCUGCCUGGUAGCGGGGGAUAACUAUUGGAAACGAUAGCUAAUACCGCAUAAUAUUGAUUAUUGCAUGAUAAUUGAUUGAAAGAUGCUAUUGCAUCACUACCAGAUGGACCUGCGUUGUAUUAGCUAGUAGGGGAGGUAACGGCUCACCUAGGCGACGAUACAUAGCCGACCUGAGAGGGUGAUCUGCCACACUGGGACUGAGACACGGCCCAGACUCCUACGGGAGGCAGCAGUAGGGAAUCUUCGGCAAAGGACGAAAGUCUGACCGAGCAACGCCGCGUGAGUGAAGAAGGUUGUCGGAUCGUAAAGCUCUGUUGUAAGAGAAGAACGGGUGUGAGAGUGGAAAGUUCACACUGUGACGGUAUCUUAACAGAAAGGGACGGCUAACUACGUG
rnacentral:rRNA from 1 species